AGGGUUCGAUUCUGGCUCAGGAUGAACGCUGGCGGCGUGCUUAACACAUGCAAGUCGAACGGGAUCCAUCAGGCUUUGCUUGGUGGUGAGAGUGGCGAACGGGUGAGUAAUGCGUGACCGACCUGCCCCAUACACCGGAAUAGCUCCUGGAAACGGGUGGUAAUGCCGGAUGCUCCAGUUGAUCGCAUGGUCUUCUGGGAAAGCUUUCGCGGUAUGGGAUGGGGUCGCGUCCUAUCAGCUUGACGGCGGGGUAACGGCCCACCGUGGCUUCGACGGGUAGCCGGCCUGAGAGGGCGACCGGCCACAUUGGGACUGAGAUACGGCCCAGACUCCUACGGGAGGCAGCAGUGGGGAAUAUUGCACAAUGGGCGCAAGCCUGAUGCAGCGACGCCGCGUGAGGGAUGGAGGCCUUCGGGUUGUAAACCUCUUUUAUCGGGGAGCAAGCGAGAGUGAGUUUACCCGUUGAAUAAGCACCGGCUAACUACGUGCCAGCAGCCGCGGUAAUACGUAGGGUGCAAGCGUUAUCCGGAAUUAUUGGGCGUAAAGGGCUCGUAGGCGGUUCGUCGCGUCCGGUGUGAAAGUCCAUCGCUUAACGGUGGAUCCGCGCCGGGUACGGGCGGGCUUGAGUGCGGUAGGGGAGACUGGAAUUCCCGGUGUAACGGUGGAAUGUGUAGAUAUCGGGAAGAACACCAAUGGCGAAGGCAGGUCUCUGGGCCGUUACUGACGCUGAGGAGCGAAAGCGUGGGGAGCGAACAGGAUUAGAUACCCUGGUAGUCCACGCCGUAAACGGUGGAUGCUGGAUGUGGGGCCCGUUCCACGGGUUCCGUGUCGGAGCUAACGCGUUAAGCAUCCCGCCUGGGGAGUACGGCCGCAAGGCUAAAACUCAAAGAAAUUGACGGGGGCCCGCACAAGCGGCGGAGCAUGCGGAUUAAUUCGAUGCAACGCGAAGAACCUUACCUGGGCUUGACAUGUUCCCGACGGUCGUAGAGAUACGGCUUCCCUUCGGGGCGGGUUCACAGGUGGUGCAUGGUCGUCGUCAGCUCACAGACGGACU
rnacentral:rRNA from 1 species